GGAUCAUUGAGUCUUUCCUUGCAUCUUCCUCAAGUUAUUCAUCGUGCUCCUUGUGGAAACAUUAAAUCAAUUCAACACCAAUUCAGUCUGGAGCAACUGACAGACAGAUUGACUGACAGAUUAAAGCUGCUGUCACCACAGCCUAUCUACAAGCAAAGCUACAUUAUUUUUGUUUCUGUUUAUUGGAUGUCUGUUCUCUGGUCUGAUACCACAGAUAUUGACUUCACCAUAAUAUGGCCAAGUAGAUAUCUUGGAGUAAAACAUGUUCUGGAAA